UACGUAGGUGGCAAGCGUUGUCCGGAAUUAUUGGGCGUAAAGCGCGCGCAGGCGGCCUUUUAAGUCUGAUGUGAAAGCCCACGGCUCAACCGUGGAAGGUCAUUGGAAACUGAAGGCUUGAGUACAGAAGAGGAAAGCGGAAUUCCACGUGUAGCGGUGAAAUGCGUAGAGAUGUGGAGGAACACCAGUGGCGAAGGCGGCUUUCUGGUCUGUAACUGACGCUGAGGCGCGAAAGCGUGGGGAGCAAACAGG
rnacentral:rRNA from 1 species